AUGUAACCACCUGCAUAUGUGUUUGAAAAAGAAGCCUUGAUUUUGCCACCCCAUUUGAUUUCUUUGCCACCCUAAGAAAAUUUCUCUAGAUCCGCCCCUGUUGAAGCGACCGACCUCGGCUGAAAAAGACGGCGCUAAAGCUAGCACGCCCGCUAGCUCUGCAAAUGAGGAGUAUACACAAGGCAAUAAACAAGUGUUGUCUGCGAUUGCUUCUGUGGACGCCAAGAUAACUCAAAUGAAGACGGACAUUUGUGAUACUCUGCGAGGGGAAAUUGCAGUGCUGAGGGCUGAAAAUGAUGAGGCCAUUUCAGCUUUGAGAACCGUGAUGGAAAACCACAAUGCCCAGCUGAAAGAUUUAUCAGAAUCGGCUACAAGCAUGUCAAACACCGUGCUGAAAUUAGAAGAAAAGAUGGAAUCUGUUAGGUUGCAGGCGAUGAAGAUCACCAAUAAAAGGGAGAGCCCACGGUCCGGGAGGAAAGUCUUUCGGCACUCGGUUCUUCAGAACAUGAGCCAGCAGAAGAAAAAGACAGAGAAAAAAUAAAAUGCUCCUGCCGUCAACCCACUCGAAGCCGAGAGCGCUGUA